rnacentral:tRNA from 1 species
GCCCUGGUGGCACAAUGGUUAAGUGCUUGGCUGCUAACCUGAAGAUUGAUGGUUUGAACCUAUCCAGUGGCU